AACGAACGCUGGCGGCAGGCCUAACACAUGCAAGUCGAACGCUGCAGCAAUGCAGAGUGGCAGACGGGUGAGUAACACGUGGGAAUCUUCCUAUCGGUACGGAAUAGCUCAGGGAAACUUGGGGUAAUACCGUAUACGCCCUUCGGGGGAAAGAUUUAUUGCCGAUAGAUGAGCCCGCGUCUGAUUAGCUAGUUGGUGAGGUAAUGGCUCACCAAGGCGACGAUCAGUAGCUGGUCUGAGAGGAUGACCAGCCACACUGGGACUGAGACACGGCCCAGACUCCUACAGGAGGCAGCAGUGGGGAAUAUUGGACAAUGGGCGCAAGCCUGAUCCAGCCAUGCCGCGUGAGUGACGAAGGUCUUCGGAUUGUAAAGCUCUUUUGGCGGGGACGAUAAUGACGGUACCCGCAGAAUAAGCCCCGGCUAACUUCGUGCCAGCCGCCGCCGUAACAC
rnacentral:rRNA from 1 species